UACGGAGGGGGCAAGCGUUGUUCGGAAUCAUUGGGCGUAAAGGGUGCGUAGGCGGCGCGGUAAGUCGGGUGUGAAAUCUCGGAGCUUAACUCCGAAACUGCAUUCGAUACUGCCGUGCUUGAGGACUGGAGAGGAGACUGGAAUUUACGGUGUAGCGGUGAAAUGCGUAGAUAUCGUAAGGAAGACCAGUGGCGAAGGCGGGUCUCUGGACAGUUCCUGACGCUGAGGCACGAAGGUCAGGGGAGCAAACGGGG
rnacentral:rRNA from 1 species